AAAAAAAAAAAAUCUACACACCGGUGUGUUAAAUAUGAUUUUGUUUCUAAAAAUAUGAUUUUUUGUAAAAAUAAUAAUAAUAAUAAUCUUGUAUGAAAAUUUUCAAAUUACAUAAAAACUAAUCAUUACAUUCGAAGUUAUCUAGUUAAGAAUUGAAACAUCUAUAUUCAUCACAUUCUUGGAUAUGGAAAUUCACGUGCGAAUAUCAUCGCCAAGUUAGGAGCUAAUCAUAGAGAUCUCUUAUGAUGGUCAUGAACAGUUGUCAUUUGACCUAGUUGGCGGAUGUUGCAGGGACAUACUUCAUUAGGAUGUAGUGUUUUUCUUGCUUUCCUUUUUUUCAUUUUCUUUUUCUCUCAUGUAACCAAAAAAAGAAGUAAAAGUGUUAUUUAUAUAUGAGGUGACAAUUUUUGUGACAACUUUCUCUCUCAUAUUCAUAUUAUUUUUUACUUUAUCUCUUUAUUGCUUUGAUUUUCGUGCAAAUACCCAUUUUUUCUUUAUAAAUUAUGAUUGUCAUAUAAGUUGUCAGCUAAAUGAUUUUUCAAAUAACACUUCUCUUUAUACAGUUUACACAACAGUAGAUAUUUAUCAUAUAUUCAUAUGUCUCGGUUGUUCCGAUUUGCGAGGAAGCCUUAAAAUACAAGAGGAGAAUUAUUGGGUUGGUCCCUCGUGCGGGACUCGUCAAUCAAAAGAAUGACAAAAAAGAAGGGUUCAUGUAUGUGAGAGAGAUGUGAUAUUUUUGCAUAAGCAGAUGUGAAGAUAAAUUAAUUCCUAUUGUUCUUUCAAAAAAAAAAUUAAUUCCUAUUGUGAGAGUAAAAAAUUGUUACACUAUAUUUUGGUUACAUGAUAGCAAAAAAUUAUUACACUAUUAGAUUUUUUUUUGAAAGAAGGUUGUUACACUAUUAGAUGUGAAAACUUGCUUGUAAUUUUUGCAUAAUUUUAAUAUAUUAUGUUACACUAUUUUUUUGUUACACGGGAGAAAAAACAAAAAAGAAUAACAAAAACGAAAAACUAAGUUCUAAUAAAGGGCACCUCUUGGACUUCCGCUAGAAACGUCGAAGACAAACUGUAAAAAAAUUCAUUAACUAUAAUCAAAGGAUCUACACAAUUAGCUCUCAUCUUUGCAAGGAUAUAUCCGCACAAGCAUUCCAUUCACGAAGAGUAUGUUUCAAAACAAUAUUUCAGUCAUUCUUCAUGUAAUCUUUGAUAAUCACCAUGUUAGCAUAAUGGUGAUAUUGAUGUGUUCUCAUAGUUACCAACUUGAUCGGAUGAAGGGAAUCAGAGUAACAAAUUACCUUUUUAAAACUAAUUUGCCAACACAAUUUUAUACCAAUUAAGAGAGCUUGCAAUCUCUACAUAUAACACGUUCGACAAACCAAUACUCCAAUAAAAAUCAAAAUGGAAAUUUCUCUCAUGAUCUCUCAAUAAUCCCCCAAAUCCUGAUUGUCCUAGAUUAGUAACAACACUACCAUCCACAUGUAGAACCAUAACAUCUUGGUCAUCACUUUACCAACAUACUCAUUUAAAAAACUCAAAGUAGAUAAUUAGUGUUAUUUUAAUGUAGAGGAAUGCUAGGGUCACACUCUCUUGUGGGGUUCUAUCUUUAGUUUUACUUGAGUUUCAUUUUUGUUGCUUUUUUUUUUUUUUUUUUUUUUUGAGAUCUAAAUUGUUUUUCAAUAUUGAUUCUAAGCCUGGAUUUCUAUUGCACCUACAUGCUGCCAUCUACGAUUGAAUUUUCUUUUGCUAUGUAUUCAGAAAUUUGUAUAAACAUUCAUUUGGUAAUUCGUUUUUAUUUCAAUUGAAAUUUGGCAAUAUUAUCAAUGGCAUUAUUUGGGAGAAUACGAUUUAGAUAUAGAUGUCUUUUUUCCUCAGAAGUUUGUAAAUUGUGUUUGUCAAUUGGAGUUAAAUCUUCCAUCGUAAGAGUGGAGUUUUCCAAUACGUCAUAUUUAGGUUAAAUCUUCAGUAAAGAUGAAAAUUGAAAUCCAAAUAAUAAAAUAUAAUAUAAAAUGAAAGGUUCUUUAGGUUAGAGGUAAAUAACUUAAAAAAAGUGAAUGAUAUGGUAAGUUUUCAUUAGAGUGUGUUAAAGGGUGUGUCGGAGGGUGUGACCCUAGUAUUCUUCUUUAAUAUAUCCUUAGUUUUCCUUCAAUAAAAAUUAAAGAAAAAAAGUGAACUUCUACUUUCUUAUGCAAAAAUAAAAAUGGACAAUUCAGGUUUUUUUUUACUGCUGAAUCGUAUAACUUGUCUCAAAUUUAUUUUAUUUCUCUCUUUUUUUUUUUCUUAUUCUUUUUUCUCUUUUGCCAAAUUCUUUCACAAUCAAAACCAAUUGGGAAUCACCAUCAAUAAAAGAAAAACCCACUUGAGAAAAAACACACUUAAGAGAUAAAUAUCUAAGUGUCGAUGAAUGUUAUUUUGAUAUAUUUAUAAUGAACAGAAACAUAUUUAACUCUAAUAUUUGAUAGUCCUUUAUUGAUUCUUUCAGUUUCACGUUUUUACUUGUUUGUCCUUAAAGUUUUUUAAGUUUUAAAUUGGUCAUUUAAAUCAUAUAAAGUUUGCAUCCAAUUUUGUUAAAUGAGGCUUAUGUGAUUGUUAACUGCUGAUAUGGCAAGACCAAAUCAUUAAAAAAA
rnacentral:lncRNA from 1 species